GGACGACAUGGGGAAGGACCAAUAUAUGAGCAGCUAUCCCAGAAGUACAGAAGAGCUGCAAGUAAAUCUACUCAGAAUUACACUGAAAACAACAAAACCCAAGGUAUCAUGGAAAAAAGUCAAUGGGACUUGAAGAAGAUCCGUUUUCAACGGCGAAAGCUGACCAGGCUGGAUGAUUUUGUGGACACAUACAAAGUUACGUUGAAAGGACUUCUCCGAGAAUACACUGACUCUGUGAGGCGGAAACGGAAGACGCACAGAGUGGACGUGGAGCGGUGGAAACAAAAAAAGCAGAGGAAACGUGGCGUUUAUGUGUCGCCUCUGACCAAGGCUUUUGUUUUCGAGCAAUA